rnacentral:misc_RNA from 1 species
UGAGGAAGAAUUGUGGUCCGGAUUGGUUUUUUUUCCCAUAUAAUAAAAGGGGAUAAAAAAAAAUUUCCUGAGUUAAUCUCUGUUGCUAUUUGUUGGUUGGUUUGGAGGGGAAGACAUAAAAGCAUUUUCUGUGGAAAGAGGAAAAAUUUUUUUCUAUUCUUCUAUAUUUUUUGGAAUAUUUCUUUAUUCAUUAAUAUGUUGUGUAAUUGCAAUCUAAAUUGUUUGAUGAUUGGUUCUAUUGUGGGG